ensembl:lncRNA
CACGCAGCAGGGAGGGAGCGCAGGAAGAUGAUUCCUCCCCGGUUGUCAUGGUGCACAUGGGGAUGCCGCUCUGCGACUUAAACUUCGCCUGGGGGAGAAAUUCAUACGAAUCUCCCAGCGAGAAACGGCCAUUAUCCUAGAUGGUGCAACUGUGACGGAGGGAAAUGACUCGUUGAAGUUCUGUGAAAACACUCCAAGUAAAACCCAUGAGUUCCAGCUGAGAGCGUCAUCUAAACAUCUGCCCGGAGGAUUCAGGACCAAGCGUCUCUGCGGAGAAAUGGCCUCCUCAGACCAGAGCAGAUACCCACCCGUCUGCAGACUCACUCCCUCCUCCGUGCACAAACGCACAAACCACAAACACGCACCAGACAGCCGCCGUCUGGCUGCUCGCAGGU